UACGGGGGGGCAAGGCGUUGUUCGGAAUUACUGGGCGUAAAGCGCACGUAGGCGGACUAUUUAAGUCAGGGGUGAAAUCCCGGGGCUCAACCCCGGAACUGCCUUUGAUACUGGUAGUCUCGAGUCCGGAAGAGGUGAGUGGAAUUCCGAGUGUAGAGGUGAAAUUCGUAGAUAUUCGGAGGAACACCAGUGGCGAAGGCG
rnacentral:rRNA from 1 species